CCCUUAGAUGUUCUGGGCCGCACGCGCGCUACAAUGGUCUUCGCAAACGGAUGCAUUCUCGAAGGAGAAUGCCAAUCUUGGAAUCUAUGCCUUGGUCGGGACAGUUGCUUGCAAUUUUUCGACUCGAACCAGGAAUUCCCUGUAAUCGUGAUUCAUCACAUCACGAUGAAUACGUCCCUGCCCUUUGUACACACCGCCCGUCGCUCCUACCGAUCGAAGAGUUAGGUGAAUUGUUUUGAUCGAUAAGAUUUGACUAUGGUCAACUCUCGUUGUGAAAUUCUGUGAAUCUGACUGUUUAGAGGAAGGAAAAGUCGUAACA
rnacentral:rRNA from 1 species